rnacentral:rRNA from 1 species
AGCUCCAAUAGCGUAUAUUAAAGUUGUUGCGGUUAAAAAGCUCGUAGUUGGAUCUCAGUUCACGUUAAGUGGUCCACUUGCCGGUGGCUACUACUUAGCUGAACAUUUUACAGACCUGCCUUGUGAUGCUCUUUACCGGGUGUCAUGAGCGAUCUGUACGUUUACUUUGAAAAAAUUAGAGUGCUUAAAGCAGGCGUAACGCCCGAAUAAUCUUGCAUGGAAUAAUGGAAUAGGACCUCGGUUCUAUUUUGUUGGUCUUCGGAUCCUGAGGUAAUGAUUAAGAGGGACAGACGGGGGCAUUCGUAUUGCGGCGCUAGAGGUGAAAUUCUUGGACCGUCGCAAGACGAACUACAGCGAAAGCAUUUGCCAAGAAUGUUUUCA